GACGAGGGAUCCUAGCGUUGUUCGGAAUCAUUGGGCGUAAAGCGGGUGCAGGUGGCUUUGUAAGUCAGGUGUGAAAUCCCGAGGCUUAACCUCGGACGUGCAUUUGAUACUGCGAAGCUUGAGUGUGGGAGAGGCUAUUAGAAUUCCAGGUGUAGUGGUGAAAUACGUAGAUAUCUGGAGGAAUACCGGAGGCGAAGGCGGAUAGCUGGCCCAACACUGACACUCAGACCCGAAAGCGUGGGGAUCAAACAGG
rnacentral:rRNA from 1 species